rnacentral:rRNA from 1 species
UAGUGGCGCAAGGGUGAGUAACACGUGGGUAAUCUACCUUAGAGACUGGGAUAACAGUUGGAAACGACUGCUAAUACCGGAUGAUAUGUAAGAAGAUACGUUUUCUUAUAUUAAAAGGAGCCUUUAAAGCUUCACUUUAAGAUGAGCCUGCGGCGUAUUAGCUAGUUGGUGGGGUAAAGGCCUACCAAGGCAACGAUGCGUAGCCGACCUGAGAGGGUGAUCGGCCACACUGGGACUGAGACACGGCCCAGACUCCUACGGGAGACAGCAGUUAGGAAUAUUCGUCAAUGGGGGAAACCCUGAACGAGCAAUGCCGCGUGAAGGAAGACGGUCCUCUGGAUUGUAAACUUCUGUUGUUAGGGAAGAACGACCUGUGUAGGAAAUGACAUAGGAGUGACGGUACCUUUCAAGAAGGCUCCGGCUAACUACGUGCCAGCAGCCGCGGUAAUACGUAGGGAGCGAGCGUUAUCCGGAAUUAUUGGGUGUAAAGCGUGUGUAGGCGGGAAAUUAAGUCUAAGGUCUAAGCCCGGAGCUCAACUCCGGUUCGCCUUAGAAACUGAUUUUCUUGAGUGUGGUAGAGGCAAACGGAAUUUCUAGUGUAGCGGUAAAAUGCGUAGAUAUUAGAAGGAACACCAGUGGCGAAGGCGG